CCAAUUGUGCAAGUUGAAAAAUCACAUUAAACUUUUAUGUCUAAAUUAUCAAUAUUGUUUCUUUAUCAAGAAGAAAUCCAUUCCUCUAAAGAUGUACAAUUUUAGCAAUUUUGGGGAUUCACCAUUCUGUGGUUUAGACAUCUUUAUCACAGCUGUACAUAACGCCUUCUUGUUUUUAACAAGUAAAAUAGAGAUGAGCACAACCUAGUUUUGCAUUAUGUGUAUAUAAUGCACACCAGCUUAAAUAGCAGUGCAAGUCCCUGGGAUGUAUGCAUUACUGAAAAGGUGACAAUAAAGUCCUAUUCAACAGGAACUAAUUUACAUUCUUAAUGUGGCACAUGUUUGUGUGUUUUCUGUGUUCAAGAGGCUUUGAUCUCCAGGAAGUGCUGAGGCCACAGCCCUGCCCAAGAUUGAUGUAUUCCACUGACAUGAAAUUUUGAUCACAUCUGCUAAGUUCUCCAUCUUUCUGUUUUCAUUUUGCUUAAGGUUUCCACAACAUAUUUUCAUUCCAACAGCAAACCCAUCUUUUUAAAAUUAUUUUAGACAAGUAAACAUCAAGUUUUUUAAGAACCUCCCUGCAUUUUAGUCAUCUAAAGAGCCCUAUUCCUGCAUUUUCUCAUCUCAAUUAUGGAAACAACUUCCAGUCUCACCAUACCUCUCACUAGGUGACUGCAUAUUAGCCUUUGUCACAAUACAGAGAAAAAGGUUCCAGAACCAACAUACAAUCUCCCUUUUCCUGCAUCUUCUCCCUUUCUUCUUUUAUUGCAUACACAAUGCAGCCACUGGCAUAGACAGAGGUGGUCGAAUCUGUUGCCCCUUAUGUCCUCCCAGGGGAAUGAAGAAAAAAAUCUGUGCAUGGAAAGAUAUGAGUUUCCAGCCCUCUAUGUGGGAGUAGUCCAUGGAAGAGAAAGCCUUUAAUUAAAAACAACUUUGAAGCCAAAGCCCUACUUGUUCAAUUAUUCACAGUCCUUGCUUAUAAAAGCUCACUGGGAUCCUAGAUAUGGUAAAAGUUGAAACAUUUAGGCCAAACUAACAAAACUAGAGAGCUUUCAAUUUAGUAAUACCUAGUAUUAAAGCAACAUUAAAGCAAGAAAAUGUAUAUCCCAAGACUACAAUACUUCCAAGCUAUUACUGAAAUAUGCAUUUCCACAAGGUUAAUGCACAUUCAACUAUGGCAUAAAGCUGAACUGCAAUCUCGUCCCUCUUACCAGCAAAAGAAGAAAGCUAGAGAACAGUAUCGCUUUAUCUGAAUUCCACAGCUAGGCCUGGGGUCAUGCUGUUUCCAUGUGCAAACACCAUGUGGCAUAUCCUGUGCUUUGCUGACAAGAAGCAAUCUAAUACUAUGCUUCUGAAUCCUAAACAAACAAUACUGUAAUCUACUGUCAGCUGCACAGUAACUGCUGCACUCUGUCAAAACAUACAUCUAGGAUACACACGCUAAGAAAACCUGCAGGAAAAAAGAUCAGAUACCAGCCUUGCUGGAGUUCUCCCACUUUCUUCCACACGCCAUCAUCCCUCAAGCAUCAUGUUAUAAGUACAAAAGCACACAGGGAUUGGAAUUCUUAACUCUGAAACAGAACAUAAAUACAUUGCUACAUGAUCAGUUUUAAAAAUAUUACUUAGAAUAACAGCAUCAGAACACAUAUGCAUCUGAGCAGCACAGUUUCAGGCUUGAAACUCAACUGCAGCUGAUAGUACUUCAACUGCCAGAAGUGACAGGAAAGCUUCAUAAAGCAUUAUUUCAGGCAGCAAUGAAUGACAAAACAGGAAGCAGCUCAGUAGGGCUAUAUCUUCUAAUAAGACAGACCAGGAGCAAGACUUUCUUACAGGCACACUGGACACUGCUACAUUAUUUCUGGCUUCCUGGAACAGAUUUCAUAGGACGUGAUGCACCAGAGCUCCCUUCUCAGUGCAGCAAAAGGAGAAGGUAGUUAUUCAGGGAUAAGUACUGAUUAUCAGUGCAAUACACCCAAGGAUGGAUGUGACCACAAGCCUCUCCUGCACUUAGGCUUUUCUGUGGGGUGGGAGAACUACUCUGAACACUGUCACAGCUCAAAGUCCUUCUCAAAGACCCCAAUAUCUUCUUACAGACUCUAGAUUUGAAUACUGAACCGAAAGCUGAUGAAGAAUAGCUCAGUGCAAGUUCUACACUUUCCUUCGUUCAAACAGCCUCAGACUCCAUCUUUUACUUAAG